GACGUAGGAGGCGAGCGUUAUCCGGAUUCACUGGGCGUAAAGGGCGCGUAGGCGGCACGGCAAGUCAGGAGUGAAAGGCCUGGGCUCAACCGAGGAACUGCUUUUGAGACUGCCGAGCUAGAGUGCGGAAGGGGCAACUGGAAUUCCCAGUGUAGCGGUGAAAUGCGUAGAUAUUGGGAAGAACACCUGAGGCGAAGGCGGGUUGCUGGGCCGACACUGACGCUGAGGCGCGAAAGCCAGGGGAGCAAACGGG
rnacentral:rRNA from 1 species